CCUACGGGGGGCAGCAGUGGGGGAUAUUGCACAAUGGGGGGAACCCUGAUGCAGCGACGCCGCGUGGGUGAAGAAGCGCCUCGGCGCGUAAAGCCCUGUCAGCAGGGAAGAAAAUGACGGUACCUGAAGAAGAAGCCCCGGCUAACUACGUGCCAGCAGCCGCGGUAAUACGUAGGGGGCAAGCGUUAUCCGGAUUUACUGGGUGUAAAGGGGGCGCAGACGGCGAUGCAAGCCAGGAGUGAAAGCCCGGGGCCCAACCCCGGGACUGCUCUUGGAACGGCGUGGCUGGAGGGCAGGAGGGGCAGGCGGAAUGCAUGGUGUAGCGGUGAAAUGCUUAGAGAUCAGGAGGAACACCGGUGGCGAAGGCGGCCUACUGAACUACAACUGACGUUGAGGCCCGAAAGCGUGGGGAGCAAACAGGAUUAGAUACCCGGGUAGUC
rnacentral:rRNA from 1 species